GGUUUGGAUAAAUUGAAAGACAUGGCCCGUGAUUUGAAUGAGGAAAUUGAUAGGCAAGUUCCUUUAAUGGACGGAUUGACACUAAGGUCGACAAUGCAGCAUCUGACCUUAAGAACACCAAUGUGAGACUUAAGGAUACUGUUAACCAGCUGAGAUCCAGUCGAAAUUUUUGUAUUGAUAUUAUACUGUUGUGCAUAAUUCUUGGGAUUGCCGCCUAUCUAUACAAGUAAGUUUCACUUUCUCAAAAAAAUGGAGAGGAAAUGUUUUAUCUAAUUCUUGGUAAUAGCUGACAUGCUUAAUGGACUCUAGAAAAUAAUUUCAUGCAUGGGUGAAGUUAUAGUUAGAAGCCAAUAAUUUAACUUAUAAACUAAAGCUGAGUGCAUGGUUAUUCUGGUUUGGAUCUUCUUCUUGGUUUAUUAUUAUGUUUUAUGAUUGGCAGAGACCGAGAGGAUUGAAGGCCAUGGGAAGCAGCAUGGAGAGCAAUUCAGAAUGACAAUGAAGGAUAGAUGGGGGCUUUCCUUCGGAUUCUUAUUUCUCUUCUUUUUUCUUUUUUCUUUUUUUCCUUUGAUUUGAUUGGGGAGUUGGGUGUUUUGGUUCACUUUCUUCUUAUUUUUUGUGUUAAAUGGGGGAGGGAGUGGUGAGAGAGAGAGA